rnacentral:rRNA from 1 species
AAACUUCUUAGAGGGACAGGUGGGGUAUAGCCACACGAAGUAGAGCAAUAACAGGUGUGUGAUGCCCUUAGAUGUCCAGGGCCGCACGCGCGCUACACUGAAAGAAUCAACGUGGAUGCCCACGUGCUCCGAGAGGAGUGGGAAACCCGAUGAAUCUCUUUCGUGAUGGGGAUUGGGGCUUGUAAUUAUUCCCCAUGAACGAGGAAUUCCCAGUAAGCGUCAGUCAUCAGCUGGCGUUGAUUACGUCCCUGCCCUUUGUACACACCGCCCGUCGCUACUACCGAUUGAAUGGUUUAGUGAGACCCUCGGACUGGAAUCCGUUUGCUGCUUUCGGGUGGCGGACGGGGACGGAAAGACGGUCGAACUUGAUCAUUUAGAGGAAGUAAACGU